rnacentral:lncRNA from 1 species
GUAAAGUUGGUUCUCACUUUAUCUCAAGGACGAGGUAGUAAUUCGUUCCAAUUUUGAUAGAUCUUCAUUUCCCAAAAUUAAGCAAAUCCGGUGUGUGGCUUAUGUCUCCCGGUGAAUGUUGGUUGUAAGUCGUAUUUCAAGUUUGGUGCUCUGUUCCUAAUGUGGGACAUUUUCAAAUAGGAAAAUCCACUUACAAUCUUU